rnacentral:rRNA from 1 species
AUUGAACGCUGGCGGCAUGCUUUACACAUGCUAGUCGAACGGCAGCACGGGCUUCGGCCUGGUGGCGAGUGGCGAACGGGUGAGUAAUACAUCGGAACAUACCUGGUAGUGGGGGAUAGCUCGGCGAAAGCCGGAUUAAUACCGCAUAAGAUCUGAGGAUGAAAGCAGGGGACCUUCGGGCCUUGCGCUACUGGAGUGGCCGAUGGCAGAUUAGGUAGUUGGUGGGGUAAAGGCCUACCAAGCCUGCGAUCUGUAGCUGGUCUGAGAGGACGACCAGCCACACUGGGACUGAGACACGGCCCAGACUCCUACGGGAGGCAGCAGUGGGGAAUUUUGGACAAUGGGCGCAAGCCUGAUCCAGCAAUGCCGCGUGCAGGAUGAAGGCCUUCGGGUUGUAAACUGCUUUUGUACGGGACGAAAAGUCUCUGGUUAAUACCCGGGGAUGAUGACGGUACCGUAAGAAUAAGCACCGGCUAACUACGUGCCAGCAGCCGCGGUAAUACGUAGGGUGCGAGCGUUAAUCGGAAUUACUGGGCGUAAAGCGUGCGCAGGCGGCGAUGCAAGACCGAUGUGAAAUCCCCGGGCUCAACCUGGGAACUGCAUUAGUGACUGCAUUGCUGGAGUGCGGCAGAAGGGGAUGGAAUUCCGCGUGUAGCAGUGAAAU